rnacentral:rRNA from 1 species
GAUGAACGCUGGCGGCGUGCCUAAUACAUGCAAGUCGAGCGAACGGACGAGAAGCUUGCUUCUCUGAUGUUAGCGGCGGACGGGUGAGUAACACGUGGAUAACCUACCUAUAAGACUGGGAUAACUUCGGGAAACCGGAGCUAAUACCGGAUAAUAUUUUGAACCGCAUGGUUCAAAAGUGAAAGACGGUCUUGCUGUCACUUAUAGCUGGAUCCGCGCUGCAUUAGCUAGUUGGUAAGGUAACGGCUUGCCAAGGCAACGAUGCAUAGCCGACCUGAGAGGGUGAUCGGCCACACUGGAACUGAGACACGGUCCAGACUCCUACGGGAGGCAGCAGUAGGGAAUCUUCCGCAAUGGGCGAAAGCCUGACGGAGCAACGCCGCGUGAGUGAUGAAGGUCUUCGGAUCGUAAAACUCUGUUAUUAGGGAAGAACAUAUGUGUAAGUAACUGUGCACAUCUUGACGGUACCUAAUCAGAAAGCCACGGCUAACUACGUG